rnacentral:lncRNA from 1 species
AGCGAUCUCUCAAGAGGAUUCAAAACCCAAUAGAAAUCGAUCUCGCAAGAGGAUUCAAAACCCAAUUCUGUCGCUCCUCCGCCACACGCCCCAAACCCAAAGCAAAACAUCGAUCGAUCUCUCAAGAGGAUUCAAAACCCAACUCCGUCGCUCCUCCGCAGCACGCUCCAAACCCAAAGCAUUCCCGGAUCGAUCUCUCUGUCUCUUCAAAACCCAGCUCCUCAUCGAUGGUUUUUGGGACAUGAGUGCAAGAGAUCGAGGUCAUGCUGAAGAUCAAGUCUGAUAUAUGAUAGUGCAGCAAUUUGAGAGUUUGAAGAGGAGGUAGUAGUGUGUACUUUUUAGUUCUCAUUUGGUUUCCUUUAAGAUAUGUUUACAGUACUUUUGUAAAACGAUAAAUCAUGAAGUUUGUAGUUUUUCAUAAUUGAGACCUUAAUCCAUGUGCCUUGUACUAUGUUUUUUUUUUCCUUGUAUUGCUUGGUUGUCAUAUCUAUGGUUGUUCAGUUGCUCUUUGACCAAUAAAGAGCAGCAGAGAUGGUAAUGGGAAAAUAAUAAACCUUAAAAUGUGAUAGAAGGGCUGCUGAAUUGG